rnacentral:tRNA from 1 species
GCGGGGGUUUCCGAGCCUGGUCAAAGGAGUGGGAUUUAGGGUCCCAUCUCGCAGGAGUUCAAGGGUUCAAAUCCCUUCCCCCGCA